UAGUAAGGUGGUGGACGCAUUCAGUCACUUUAUUAUCCCAAAUGGGAAACUUGAUAUGCAGUCAGGAGUGAAAUAUAAAAAGAAACACAUUCAAACAUCAUAAAAAAUACACAGGACAACCAUACAAAGGCAUGA